rnacentral:rRNA from 1 species
GAGUUUGAUCAUGGCUCAGGAUGAACGCUGGCGGCGUGCCUAAUACAUGCAAGUCGAACGAACAGAUAAGGAGCUUGCUCCUUUGACGUUAGCGGCGGACGGGUGAGUAACACGUGGGUAACCUACCUAUAAGACUGGAAUAACUCCGGGAAACCGGGGCUAAUGCCGGAUAACAUGUUGAACCGCAUGGUUCUACAGUGAAAGACGGUCUUGCUGUCACUUAUAGAUGGACCCGCGCCGUAUUAGCUAGUUGGUGGGUAACGGCCUACCAAGGCGACGAUACGUAGCCGACCUGAGAGGGUGAUCGGCCACACUGGAACUGAGACACGGUCCAGACUCCUACGGGAGGCAGCAGUAGGGAAUCUUCCGCAAUGGGCGAAAGCCUGACGGAGCAACGCCGCGUGAGUGAUGAAGGUCUUCGGAUCGUAAAGCUCUGUUGUUAGGGAAGACAAAUGUGUAAGUAACUGUGCAUAUCUUGACGGUACCUAACCAGAAAGCCACGGCUAACUACGUGCCAGCCGCCGCCG